rnacentral:rRNA from 1 species
UACGGAGGAUCCGAGCGUUAUCCGGAUUUACUGGGUGUAAAGGGAGCGUAGACGGGACAGCAAGUCUGAUGUGAAAGGCGGGGGCUCAACCCCUGGACUGCAUUGGAAACUGUUGACCUGGAGUGCCGGAGAGGUAAGCGGAAUUCCUAGUGUAGCGGUGAAAUGCGUAGAUAUUAGGAGGAACACCAGUGGCGAAGGCGGCUUACUGGACGGUAACUGACGUUGAGGCUCGAAAGCGUGGGGAGCAAACAGG